GACGAACGCUGGCGGCGUGCUUAACACAUGCAAGUCGAACGGAAAGGCCCUGCUUUUGUGGGGUGCUCGAGUGGCGAACGGGUGAGUAACACGUGAGUAACCUGCCCUUGACUUUGGGAUAACUUCAGGAAACUGGGGCUAAUACCGGAUAGGAGCUCCUGCUGCAUGGUGGGGGUUGGAAAGUUUCGGCGGUUGGGGAUGGACUCGCGGCUUAUCAGCUUGUUGGUGGGGUAGUGGCUUACCAAGGCUUUGACGGGUAGCCGGCCUGAGAGGGUGACCGGCCACAUUGGGACUGAGAUACGGCCCAGACUCCUACAGGAGGCAGCAGUGGGGAAUAUUGCACAAUGGGCGGAAGCCUGAUGCAGCAACGCCGCGUGCGGGAUGACGGCCUUCGGGUUGUAAACCGCUUUCGCCUGUGACGAAGCGUGAGUGACGGUAAUGGGUAAAGAAGCACCGGCUAACUACG
rnacentral:rRNA from 1 species